GUUAUUUUGGCAGAUUAGUGUAAUAAAUUUAGAAUUUAUAAAUAUAGUUUAAACUAUAAAUAAUA
rnacentral:tRNA from 1 species